rnacentral:rRNA from 1 species
UGGGGAAUAUUGGCAAUGGGCGCAAGCCUGACCCAGCAACGCCGCGUGAAGGAAGAAGACUUCGGGUUGUAAACUUCUUUUCUCAGGGACGAACAGAUGACGGUACCUGAGGAAUAAGCCACGGCUAACUACGUGCCAGCAGCCGCGGUAAUACGUAGGUGGCAAGCGUUAUCCGGAUUUACUGGGUGUAAAGGGCGUGUAGGCGGGGAAAGCAAGUCAGAUGUGAAAACCAUGGGCUCAACUCAUGGCCUGCAUUUGAAACUGUUUUUCUUGAGUACUGGAGAGGCAGACGGAAUUCCUAGUGUAGCGGUGAAAUGCGUAGAUAUUAGGAGGAACACCAGUGGCGAAGGCGGUCUGCUGGACAGCAACUGACGCUGAGGCGCGAAAGCGUGGGGAGCAAACAGGAUUAGAUACC